UCAAAGACAGUCUUCCAGAGAAUAGUGCACUGCCACAACAAAAGAGGGGGGAGAGAGAGAGUGCUCAAAGGGGCAAUGCCAACCCCACAUCUUCUCUCAACCAUCUUCUCUCCCUCCCUCCCUCUUUCACAUUAUUACAGUACUUGCACAGUAUAUCUCGGUUGGAUUUUAUUCAUAUGUGGCUGUGAUAAAGGUCUCUUUCAUUCAGCCCACGAUGAUAGUGAGUGUAUGUAUGAGAAGGACGAGAAAAAUGGGAAAACAAAUAUAUAUAUUGUUCUUUUUGUUUUCUGAUUUCUGAUAUACACAGUUAGUGUCUGUAUACAUGUUUCUGGUUUAUAAGUUGGGGAAAUUUGGCUGUCAAAAGAAUUCUUUGUUAUAGUUGAUCUCUUUUGGAAAUAUAAUGCUUUUCCAGAUUUGUGUGGAUACAUGUGAGAUCUUCAAUCGCUUUCUUUUCCUUCUCUGACUCUCAUGAAGACAGUGACACCUUCUCUCUCUUAAUUCUUCCCCCCUCUCUCUCUGCGCUUCUUCCUCCGACCUUCCUCACCUUUCAUUUUCCAAAAUUUAUUACUUGUGUGCUCCUUUUCUUUUGGUCUUCUGAUUCAUAUAUAUCUUCUUUACCCUUAUUUCCUAUGGCGUAUUUUGCUUUGGUUUCCUCUUCUUUCAGCUACUGCUUGUGAUCAUCGUCGUUUAGUCCAAGCGUCUUCGACCGUGACAACCAAAAAGCAGUAAGAAAUAUAGUUAAUUUGAUUUGAUUUAUAGAGUAAUUUUAGCUAGUUGAACAACCUAAAUUUGACCCCUUUCAUUUUCUGCUUAUUAUCAUCACAUUAUUACACCUGUGUUUUGAUCAAAGAAAUAUUCAGCAUGUCUGUUUUUAUAUCUGCAAUAUAUGUUUUACAACCAGUGUAUUUUUAUUAGCUUGCUCCAAGACCUAGGGCUAGGGUUAUUGUACAAAUCGCCGUUCAACGUUGUAGUUUCAGUAGUAUAAUUGAAACGGUGUGGUCGGGAAUUGGUGCCGUUUUGGUCAAAAUCUUGUUUGUCAUCUAGGAAUACAGUUAGUUGAAAAGCCUAUUUCGUUAUAAUUUUGAAACGGAAAUAUUAGAUUUGAGGUUAAUUAAUUGUUGCAUGCUCUGAUUCAAAUUAUCUGCAUAUAGUAAAUCGAUGUUUAUCUGCAAAACUUGGUCUUUUAUGAAUUGGAAUUGGUUUAAUCUUCUUGUGUGUGUGUGUGUGAAGCUAGUGUCCUGUAAGUGUAUAUAUAUAUGGUUGGAUUGGAUUAAUUGAGGGUUAAGUGAGGAAUUAAGAGUUUAAGAGAGCUUCCUUCAGUCCACUCAUGGAAGGGUAAAGGGUUUGAAUUAGCUGCUGACUCAUUCAUUCAAACACAAUAGAACAGGUUUCAUCAUUACAUGCUAUUGUGAAUGUGUGAAUGAUGCGGGAGGUAAAUUUCACCCUUUUCUUGUCUGUGCUUGGACUGAAGGGAGCUCCCUGUCACUGUUUCUUUCUUUCCCCCCUUUAAUUGUGAAUUUCACGGAGACUGAUGAAUGAACUCGAUUGUACUGAUCGGUUCAUGGCAUACGAGCAGUGUGACUUGUUAUAAGUUUUUUAUCUGAUGUUCAUGAUAGAUGCUUUCCCUCUUUUAAUGCUGCAAUCUCUUCCUCACAUAUGGCUCAUUUGGUAUACCUCUUAUAUCAGAAGGACGUUAAUUUCAUUGCACACUAAGUCUAUCUUUAUUAUAUCAUAAUUUACUCAGUGAUCAUUUAGUUUCUGUUUUCAUCUAGAGAUGACCGUGAGUGUCAAUAGUGAUCCACAUUUUUAGUUGACUUAUAUUAACACUGAAAAAAAUUACAGUUGUUAUGUAGUAAAAUCCUCGAUUCAUGUGUGUGGCAUGCACGCGCAGAUUGGUGAACUUAUGUUUGAGCCUACACUAGUGUAUACUGACAUGCUUGAUUGAUGAUGAUUUAAUUUGAGUGGUCUAAUUUACCAUCUCUGUACAAGAUUAACAUUUUACAUUGAUGUAAUCUUUUAAUUGCCAUUAUGAGGAUCAUUGGAGUAGAGCUUGGUUAAUAUUUAUCAAUUUUCAAUCUAUAUAUUUGCAUAAUGUACAAAAUUAAACUUUGAUUGGUUUAAAUUAUCUUGCUGAUCCUUGAACAUGAAUGCUUCUUUUAUCAUUGUCUUUAGUCAUCCAUAAAACUGUGUGCAACUGGCAUGCAUCUCAUGUAUACAAAUUGAAUGAUUAUAAGACUUUUGAUGUUUUUUGUUUCUGGAAUGACUUUAUUGGUAGUUUUUCUAGGACAUGUUUUGGCAGGGCUUUACUGUUGGUACUCGAUGAAUCAAAACCACUCUUAACAAUAUACAUCACAACAAGCCGGUACUAAUAAGCUCCUGAGGCUAAAGAUAAGCUGUUCAAAAGGCUAUACAAACCCUAUAAUUCUUGUCCACUGUGAUGGGGUUUGAGGCAGUAGUUGGAACUUGAAGCUACAAGGGCUUGUUCUAAAUCAGUCAUGCAAGUUGGGCUCAGCUUGCGAUCAACAGCUUCUGCUACUUAACGCAGACUAGUCCAAGGUUCUGCUUAGUUCAAGUACACGUGUAAUAUUGAUCUCAUUUAGUGCGGUAAGCUGGUAUAGAUCUCAAUUCGUGAAUUUCUGGGCAUUUCAAUGAUAGUUUACAUACAAGCUGGACCCCAUGAUAGCUUCGGAGUGUAGGUGUUGGUGUGUGUCUCUGUGAAUGUGAGACUGAGUGUGUCUGUCCAGCUUUCUCAGGCUAUAUACUAUCUGGCAAGCAAGUUCAAUACGCAUGGUGGUCCCUGCUGGUUUGAAGUUUUUAUGAGUAUGGUUGGCCAGAAGUGAGGUUAAAGGCCGCUUCAUGUCCUCCUUGAAGCAUGCAUGAAUUAUGAGUGUUGCUGCAGAUUGGUCUCAGAAAACAAACCCAGAAAGCGCCACUUCUCUCACACAUAAAACUGACCUGAAAACAAUCAAUGACUAUGGGAUGGGGAAUUGACCGAUGAUCAGAGAGACAUUUCAAGACAUAGGAAAACUGAAAGGAACAGAUAAUAAUCUUCCUAUAUUGAAAAAGCAUUAAUAUGCAUGUUGUUUCAACAUUGCAAGCUUUCUGAUGAACUUUUAAGUUCCUUCUGUAUGCUGUACAAUAUAUAGUAAUAAUGUCAUCUUGUUUUCUUCAGAUGAUGAAUCUAUUGAUCUGUCAUUUGGCUGAGUUCUUUUCUGAUACUCAAUGUUCUGCAAUAUAUGAAGAUUUGAAAUUUGACGACGAUGGUGACAUCUCUGAUCACAAAACAAAGAGCUGGUCUGAGCUGGACCACACAUAUAAACACUCCUAGUUUUGUGGUCCAAACAAACUGGAUAUAGAUAGCAACUGGGCAUGCAGUGGUAGUCAGUGACACUCUGAUACAACAUGUUGUACACCCCUCCUCCCCAACAGACAGACAAAUACAUGUAUGUAUCUGUAUAUGUGUGUGUAUAUAUGUACAUACAUACUCGUAGUUGCUGGAGAUUGCCUGUCUGGUGUUAUUUUAAAAGUGUGUUUUUCAUUUCACUGAGAGUUGAGAUAUGUCAGUGUCUUGUGUGUGUGUGUGUUUGUGUGUUGUUUGUUGAUGUUAGUGUGAAAAUGGCGAGUAUCAUUGGAGAUUGAGAAUCUCUAUCAGGAAUAGUGCCAGACAGGAACUAAUGAUGAUGGUGGUGGAAGGAGGAGACAUGAUGGCUUGUGAUAUUAUUUGCUUGAAGCUGAUGAGGUGGAUCUCACUACCACUGGUAUUCUACUUUCUGUCCGGUGUGCACACAUGAAGCUCUUGUUAUUUCAAUACUGAUCACUGUGUCUUUUCAUGCUUCUUCUCCCCCCAAUUUAUUUGAUUAUUAAUGAUAAUUAUUAAUAUCUUUA